UAUGUGAUCGUCUCUCGCAUAUCAAUAAGCGGAGGAAAAGAAACUAACAAGGAUUCCCCUAGUAACGGCGAGUGAAGCGGGAAGAGCUCAAAUUUGAAAUCUUAAAGGGUUUCCCUUUACGAAUUGUAGUUUAAAGAAGUGUUUUCCGUUGAGGUUUUGGUAAAAGUUCUUUGGAAUAGGACAUCAUAGAGGGUGAGAAUCCCGUAUUUGACCUUUACUUUCAACUUUGUGAUACACUUUCAAAGAGUCGGAUUGUUUGGGAAUGCAGUCCAAAAUGGGUGGUAAAUUUCAUCUAAAGCUAAAUAUUGGCGAGAGACCGAUAGCGAACAAGUACCGUGAGGGAAAGAUGAAAAGAACUUUGAAAAGAGAGUUAAACAGUACGUGAAAUUGUCAAAAGGGAAGCGUUUGACACCAGUGUUGUUUUUCUGAAAAUCAAUUAAAGAACUGUUUAUGCUAAGCUGUUUAGACUUUAUCAGUUAUCUGUUUAGUUUUGAGCUUUUCUUUAAUGCACUUUUCAGUUAACAAGUCAACAUCAAUUUCUUUUGCUGUAAAAAAGCUUGAGGAAGGUGGCUUGAGAUUCGUCUUAAGUGUUUAUAGCCUCUUGCCUAUGCAGUCGGAGAGAUUGAGGUCUGCAGCGUAGAUCCUUCGGGGCUAAAUGCAUUUGUGCUAAGUUAUAGCAUUUUAUAGACAACUUGUUGACUAUGAUUUGUCUUGUAGCUUACUCGCUUAUGUUAUUUUACCUACGCUUAGGAUGUUGAGUAGCGACAUACGCAC
rnacentral:rRNA from 1 species